GCCGUAAAUCCAACUCACACUCUAAACGCCAGGGUAUUACGAGCUUUAGCUUAAAACCCAAAGGACUUGACGGUACCCCACCUAACUAGAGGAGCCUGUUCUAUAAUCGAUAAUCCACGAUUCACCUAACCACUUCUUGCUUUCAGCCCGUAUACCUCCGUCGUAAGCUUACUAUGUGAAUAUCUAAUAGUGAGCUAAAAGGCCACCACACCAUAACGUCAGGUCAAGGUGCAGCUUAUGAAGUGGGAGUAAUGGGCUACAAUUUCUAACCUAGAACAAACGAAAUACUCUAUGAAACACAGUCACGAAGGAGGAUUUAGCAGUAAAUAAGAAAUAGAGAGCCUUAUUAAACUCGGCCCUGGGGUGUGUACAAACCGCCCGUCACCCUCUUCGAUAAUUUUCUUUAAAUAAAUAAUCCACUACUACACCCUUAGAAGAGGUAAGUCGUAACAUGGUAAGUAUACUAGAAGGUACACUUGGAAUAA
rnacentral:rRNA from 1 species